rnacentral:rRNA from 1 species
UACAGAGACUGCAAGCGUUAUUCGGAUUCACUGGGCGUAAAGGGUGCGCAGGCGGCCGUGUGUGUGAGGCGUGAAAGCCCGGGGCUUAACCCCGGAAUUGCACCUCAAACUACACGGCUAGAGCAUUGGAGAGGGUAGCAGGAUUCACGGUGUAGCAGUGAAAUGCGUAGAUAUCGUGAGGAAUACCAGAGGCGAAGACGGGUUGCUGGGCCGACACUGACGCUGACAGCGCGAAAGCCAGGGGAGCAAACGGG